rnacentral:rRNA from 1 species
GACGAACGCUGGCGGCGUGCUUAACACAUGCAAGUCGAACGGAAAGGCCCUGCUUUUGUGGUGUGCUCGAGUGGCGAACGGGUGAGUAACACGUGAGUAACCUGCCCUUGACUUUGGGAUAACUUCAGGAAACUGGGGCUAAUACCGUAUAGGAUCUCCUGCUGCAUGGUGGGGGUGGGAAAGUUUCGGCGGUUGGGGAUGGACGCGCGGCUUAUCAGCUUGUUGGUGGGGUAGUGGCUUACCAAGGCUUUGACGGGUAGCCGGCCUGAGAGGGUGACCGGCGACAUUGGGACUGAGAUACGGCCCAGACUCCUACGGGAGGCAGCAGUGGGGAAUAUUGCACAAUGGGCGGAAGCCUGAUGCAGCAACGCCGCGUGCGGGAUGACGGCCUGCGGGUUGUAAAACGCUUUCGCCUGUGACGAAGCGUGAGUGACGGUAAUGGGUAAAGAAGCACCGGCUAACUACGUG